CGUAACUGGGCUAAUAUUAGAGACCGGAAGUUGGAAGUUCACAUGGAUGUAGCCAUAUAGAACAGCUCCACUCAUGUGCACUUCCAGGUUUCUGGCUCGAAAAUCAACAAAGUGAGGAG
rnacentral:precursor_RNA from 9 species